GACGAACGCUGGCGGCGUGCUUAACACAUGCAAGUCGAGCGGUAAGGCCCUUCGGGUACGACGAGCGGCGAACGGGUGAGUAACACGUGGGUGACCUGCCUCUAGCUCUGGGAUAAGCCUGGGAAACUGGGUCUAAUACCGGAUAUGACUCCAUGACGCAUGUUGGUGGGGUGGAAAGCCUUGUGCGGCUAGGGAUGGGCCCGCGGCCUAUCAGCUUGUUGGUGGGGUGAUGGCCUACCAAGGCGACGACGGGUAGCCGGCCUGAGAGGGCGACCGGCCACACUGGGGACUGAGACACGGCCCAGACUCCUACGGGAGGCAGCAGUGGGGAAUCUUGCGCAAUGGGCGAAAGCCUGACGCAGCGACGCCGCGUGAGGGAUGACGGCCUGGUGUAACUACUUCUA
rnacentral:rRNA from 1 species